UUAACUUAUUAUAUUGUUCUCAGACGAUACAAAAUUCAGAGUUUAGGGUCCUCUGGCGGGCACUCACUAACGAAAAGCCAGUGGCCGAAGCGGCCCGCCAAAGCAACAAUGGUAAGAUAUUCAAGGGUGGGAGAUCUACCCCUAGGGGCAUGAACUCUGUAAUGAUCCUUCCGCAGGUUCACCUACGGAAA
rnacentral:misc_RNA from 1 species